CUUGAAUUUAGCAAAGCUUUUGAUACAGUCUCCCACAGUAUUCUUGCCAUCAAGUUAAAAAAAGUAUGGGCCGGAUGAAUGCACUAUAAGGUGGGUAGAAAGCUGGCUAGAUUGUCGGGCUCAACGGGUAGUGAUCAAUGGCUCCAUGUCUAGUUGGCA